ensembl:Y_RNA Y_RNA Y RNA
GGCUGGUCCGAUUGCAGUGGUGCUUAUAAUUAAUUGAUCACAGGCAGUUACAGGUUUCUUUGUUCUUUCUCCACUCCCACUGCUUCACUUGACUAGUCUUUU